CCCUUUAGACUGGGAUAACAGAAGGGAAACUUCUGAUAAUACUGGAUAAGUUAGUAUAUCGCAUGAUAUGCAAAUGAAAGCUACGGCACUAAAGGAGAGCUUUGCGUCCUAUUAGCUAGUUGGUAAGGUAAGAGCUUACCAAGGCGAUGAUAGGUAGCCGGCCUGAGAGGGUGAACGGCCACAGUUGGAACUGAGAAACGGUCCAAACUCCUACGGGAGGCAGCAGGC
rnacentral:rRNA from 1 species